rnacentral:rRNA from 1 species
GACGAAGGGGGCUAGCGUUGUUCGGAAUUACUGGGCGUAAAGCGCGUGUAGGCGGUUGUUCAAGUCAGGUGUGAAAGCCUUGAGCUCAACUCAAGAAAUGCACUUGAUACUGGAUGACUAGAGGACCGGAGAGGAUAGUGGAAUUCCCAGUGUAGUGGUGAAAUACGUAGAGAUUGGGAAGAACACCAGUGGCGAAGGCGGCUAUCUGGACGGUUUCUGACGCUAAGACGCGGAAGCGUGGGGAGCAAACAGG